CACCUCCAGUCCCACCAGAGAGUGCA
rnacentral:misc_RNA from 1 species